AGGCGAUGAUGACAAAAACAUUUCUCGAUGCUGAAAAUUACUCGAGAGACCAAUAAAAAAUCCUCUUGUAAUCUUUCAUGAUGUUUGUUAUUUGUGCGUGUCUGAGCCCU
rfam:Arabis alpina cultivar Pajares chromosome 8, whole genome shotgun sequence.